CUAAACGAAUAACAUCAAAAUAAAUAUUUUUGAUAAUUUAAACAAUAUAAAAAAACGUGUCGUUAAAUAAACUAAUACUUAAACAAUAAAUAAUUCGAAUAAACAUUAAACGAAACCGUGUUAGACAACAUAGUUUUAAAUAAUUUCCUCUUAGACAUAAAAUUUGAAUUAGUGAUUCUUGGUUAUGUGCAAUAUCAAUAAAAUCGGAUCUUUGAUCGAUAUUUACAUUAUUAUUGCGUUAUUUUGUCUUGGAUUCCGACGAGAGAACAUAGAAAUUCUCAUAAAAUGUCUUUCUUACAAAAUUUCAAUUUUCUUAGAUUCUGUGAUGUCAACAAAUUCGAACGUUGAUCGACUUUGAUUGUUACUGCAUCGGUCUCAUUGUAUAUUUCAACGAGCAUACAUCGUAGUUCGCGCAGAACGCGUUUUCCGCAAAUAACAAAGAGUUAAGGUAAGUACAUAAUUAUAAUACUCACUCUUACAAUAUGCGAAUUAUUUUAUUUUAGAAUUACAUGGUGAAGUGGGGAUAUUCUCCCACUCUUGGCGACAAUAUAAGCGGACCGAUAGUUUCUGGUUUAGUCUUACCUCGAAUUUCGACGAGUGAGCAUCGCUGUUUUCAUAGUACGCGUUCUCCACAAGUAAUAACAAAGAGUUAAUAAUGAAAUGGUGUAGUGGGGAUAUUCUCCCACUCGUGGCGACAAUAUAAGCGGACCGAUAGUUUCUGGUUUAGUCUUACCUCGAAUUUCGACGAAUGAGCAUCGCAGUUUUCAUAGUACGCGUUCUCCACAAGUAAUAACAAAGAGUUAAUAAUGAAAUGGUGUAGUGGGGAUAUUCUCCCACUCGUGGCGACAAUAUAAGCGGCCCGACAGUUUCUGGUUCAGUCUUACCUUGAAUUUCGACGAGUACGCAUCGCAGUUUUCAUAGUACGCGUUCUCCACAAGUAAUAACAAAGAGUUAAUAAUGAAAUGGUGUAGUGGGGAUAUUCUCCCACCCUUGGCGACAAUAUAAGCGGCCCGACAGUUUCUGGUUCAGUCUUACCUUGAAUUUCGACGAGUAAGCAUCGCAGUUUUCAUAGUACGCGUUCUCCACAAGUAAUAACAAAGAGUUAAUAAAGAAAUGGUGUAGUGGGGCUAUUCUCCCACCCUUGGCGACAAUAUAAGCGGCCCGACAGUUUCUGGUUCAGUCUUACCUUGAAUUUCGACGAGUACGCAUCGCAGUUUUCAUAGUACGCGUUCUCCACAAGUAAUAACAAAGAGUUAAUAAUGACAUGGUGUAGUGGGGAUAUUCUCCCACUCGUGGCGACAAUAUAAGCGGCCCGACAGUUUCUGGUUCAGUCUUACCUUGAAUUUCGACGAGUACGCAUCGCAGUUUUCAUAGUACGCGUUCUCCACAAGUAAUAACAAAGAGUUAAUAAAGAAAUGGUGUAGUGGGGCUAUUCUCCCACCCUUGGCGACAAUAUAAGCGGCCCGACAGUUUCUGGUUCAGUCUUACCUUGAAUUUCGACGAGUACGCAUCGCAGUUUUCAUAGUACGCGUUCUCCACAAGUAAUAACAAAGAGUUAAUAAAGAAAUGGUGUAGUGGGGCUAUUCUCCCACCCUUGGCGACAAUAUAAGCGGCCCGACAGUUUCUGGUUCAGUCUUACCUUGAAUUUCGACGAGUACGCAUCGCAGUUUUCAUAGUACGCGUUCUCCACAAGUAAUAACAAAGAGUUAAUAAUGAAAUGGUGUAGUGGGGAUAUUCUCCCACUCUUGGCGACAAUAUAAGCGGCCCGACAGUUUCUGGUUCAGUCUUACCUUGAAUUUCGACGAGUACGCAUCGCAGUUUUCAUAGUACGCAUUCUCCACAAGUAAUAACAAAGAGUUAAUAAAGAAAUGGUGUAGUGGGGCUAUUCUCCCACCCUUGGCGACAAUAUAAGCGGCCCGACAGUUUCUGGUUCAGUCUUACCUUGAAUUUCGACGAGUACGCAUCGCAGUUUUCAUAGUACGCGUUCUCCACAAGUAAUAACAAAGAGUUAAUAAUGAAAUGGUGUAGUGGGGAUAUUCUCCCACUCGUGGCGACAAUAUAAGCGGCCCGACAGUUUCUGGUUCAGUCUUACCUUGAAUUUCGACGAGUACGCAUCGCAGUUUUCAUAGUACGCGUUCUCCACAAGUAAUAACAAAGAGUUAAUAAAGAAAUGGUGUAGUGGGGCUAUUCUCCCACCCUUGGCGACAAUAUAAGCGGCCCGACAGUUUCUGGUUCAGUCUUACCUUGAAUUUCGACGAGUACGCAUCGCAGUUUUCAUAGUACGCGUUCUCCACAAGUAAUAACAAAGAGUUAAUAAAGAAAUGGUGUAGUGGGGCUAUUCUCCCACCCUUGGCGACAAUAUAAGCGGCCCGACAGUUUCUGGUUCAGUCUUACCUUGAAUUUCGACGAGUACGCAUCGCAGUUUUCAUAGUACGCGUUCUCCACAAGUAAUAACAAAGAGUUAAUAAAGAAAUGGUGUAGUGGGGCUAUUCUCCCACCCUUGGCGACAAUAUAAGCGGCCCGACAGUUUCUGGUUCAGUCUUACCUUGAAUUUCGACGAGUACGCAUCGCAGUUUUCAUAGUACGCGUUCUCCACAAGUAAUAACAAAGAGUUAAUAAUGAAAUGGUGUAGUGGGGAUAUUCUCCCACUCUUGGCGACAAUAUAAGCGGCCCGACAGUUUCUGGUUCAGUCUUACCUUGAAUUUCGACGAGUACGCAUCGCAGUUCUCAUAGUACGCGUUCUCCGCAAGUAACAGAGAAGAAGUAAUAUUCAAAUUGGGAGUAGGGAUACUUGGCCUCGUGAGAUGAUAACAAAGUUGGACCUUUGACCGACUAUUACAGUUAUUAGUUCAGUUGUGUUUUGGACUUUGACGAGAGAACUUAGAAAUUUUCGCUGGAUGCCAUUUCUACAAGUUUGAACGAAGACUUAAAAACCUCAUUGCAGUCGCGCGCGUAGCAAUGAAGUAAUCGAGUGUUUGUACCGCUAAAAUAAAAAUAUCGCGAAGUAGAAGCAGUGUUUGUGCGUCCGCGGUUCGCGAUUUAAACCAUAAGUGUUUUUGCAUAGACUGCGAGCAAUGCAGUCUUUAGAGUCAGUGUUUGUUCGCGUAGUUUUUUGAUUUUUUGACAGUCGCACAGACUGUACUUGUAAAAUGUAGUAGUGUUGCGUUAAGUAAAUUCAGUGACCCUUCGUUAAUAAGUAACUACCGCGAAUUAGAGUCAGUGCAUCACUGAAGAGGAUCUCGACCAACUUCGAUGUCGACCUACCUCAUUUUCAACCAACUACGAAUCAUCCACCCUCAAUUUCGACCUAAAUCGCGGUCGAGUGUUUUGGAGCCAUCGCAGAACUUCUUAAGUAGUUAGAUCAUCGAGGGAUCGAUCAUCGUGAAAUUAAAUUUUUACAGGGAAGUAUUAAUUGUACAUUUGUUUUUUUCAGUUUAUUUAAUUAUUACUUUAUUUUUUAAUUUAUAUUAUUGUUUAAUGAUAUAUUUGAUUUUAAUUAUUGUAUUUUUUUAAAUUAUUGUUUGACUUUUAUUAUCUAUAUUUGCAUCUAAUUUUGCAUAUAAUUUUUACAUGUUUAUCUUUUCUUCUUUCAUUCUUUUUCUGUUUCAGGUUAGGUGAUCGAGGGACGGAUCAUCCUGGGAUUUCUACACGGAAGUUAAAGGAACCUCUCUGCAUAUAACGUUUGUUAUAUGCAGGGAGGGUAUGUCUCCUUGCUUCCGUACGCGAAUGAUAGGGAAAACACUCACGCGCGUGACGGCCGGCACGCGCGUGGGUGUUCGCGAACGCGAGAUUAAGUCCUACCGAGGACUACGUUUUGAUUUUUGAAAUCGAAAUAGACACGACCGGUCGUGUCUCGAGAUGUCUGAAGCCGACGGUGUGGACGGUGGAGCAAUCUGUAAGCGGGAUUUUAUACAUCUCCAGUUUGCUGAGAAGCCCGAAGCUCCCGAAGCGGAAAGGCAUCUCGGAUCGUGGAACUUAGAGUAGAGUCCCCGUUAGACCGUGGGUCCCCAUAUGCAGCUACCUCCACGCGGUGGGACCU